rnacentral:rRNA from 1 species
GUGAGGAAUUUUCCGCAAUGGGCGAAAGCCUGACGGAGCAAUGCCGCGUGAAGGAUGAAGGCCUAUGGGUUGUAAACUUCUUUUCUCAGAAAAGAAUUAUGACGGUAUCUGAGGAAUAAGCAUCGGCUAACUCUGUGCCAGCAGCCGUGGUAAGACAGAGGAUGCAAGCGUUAUCCGGAAUGAUUGGGCGUAAAGCGUCUGUAGGUUGUUUAAAAAGUAUUCUGUCAAAGAUUAGGGCUUAACCCUAGAUAGGCAGAAUAAACUUUUAAGCUAGAGUUUGGUAGAGGCAGAGGGAAUUCCCGGUGGAGCGGUGAAAUGUGUAGAUAUCGGGAGGAACACCAAAGGCGAAGGGACUCUGCUGGGCCAAUACUAACACUGAGAGACGAAAGCGAGGGGAGCAAAUGGGAUUAGAUACCCGGGUAGUCC